rnacentral:rRNA from 1 species
ACAGCAGUCGCCGCGGUAAUACGUAGGUGGCAAGCGUUGUCCGGAAUUAUUGGCGUAAAGGGCUCGCAGGCGGUUUCUUAAGUCUGAUGUGAAAGCCCCCGGCUCAACCGGGGAGGGUCAUUGGAAACUGGGAAACUUGAGUGCAGAAGAGGAGAGUGGAAUUCCACGUGUAGCGGUGAAAUGCGUAGAGAUGUGGAGGAACACCAGUGGCGAAGGCGACUCUCUGGUCUGUAACUGACGCUGAGGAGCGAAAGCGUGGGGAGCGAACAGGAUUAGAUACCCGCGUAGUCCCUGUCUCUUAUACA